rnacentral:rRNA from 1 species
CUACGGGCGGCUGCAGUGGGGAAUAUUGCACAAUGGGCGCAAGCCUGAUGCAGCCAUGCCGCGUGUGUGAAGAAGGCCUUCGGGUUGUAAAGCACUUUCGGCGGGGAGGAAGGCGGUGAGGUUAAUAACCUCAUCGAUUGACGUUACCCGCAGAAGAAGCACCGGCUAACUCCGUGCCAGCAGCCGCGGUAAUACGGAGGGUGCAAGCGUUAAUCGGAAUUACUGGGCGUAAAGCGCACGCAGGCGGUCUGUCAAGUCGGAUGUGAAAUCCCCGGGCUCAACCUGGGAACUGCAUUCGAAACUGGCAGGCUAGAGUCUUGUAGAGGGGGGUAGAAUUCCAGGUGUAGCGGUGAAAUGCGUAGAGAUCUGGAGGAAUACCGGUGGCGAAGGCGGCCCCCUGGACAAAGACUGACGCUCAGGUGCGAAAGCGUGGGGAGCAAACAGGAUUAGAUACCCUAGUAGUC